CAAAGUGUAGCUUAACUAAAGCACCUGGCUUACACCCAGAAGAUUUCAUAUGACAUGGCCACUUUGAACCAAAG
rnacentral:tRNA from 1 species